GGUUAAGCGACUAAGCGUACACGGUGGAUGCCCUGGCAGUCAGAGGCGAUGAAGGACGUGCUAAUCUGCGAUAAGCGUCGGUAAGGUGAUAUGAACCGUUAUAACCGGCGAUUUCCGAAUGGGGAAACCCAGUGUGUUUCGACACACUAUCAUUAACUGAAUCCAUAGGUUAAUGAGGCGAACCGGGGGAACUGAAACAUCUAAGUACCCCGAGGAAAAGAAAUCAACCGAGAUUCCCCCAGUAGCGGCGAGCGAACGGGGAGGAGCCCAGAGUCUGAAUCAGUGUGUGUGUUAGUGGAAGCGUCUGGAAAGGCGCGCGAUACAGGGUGACAGCCCCGUACACAAAAAUGCACAUAUUGUGAGCUCGAUGAGUAGGGCGGGACACGUGGUAUCCUGUCUGAAUAUGGGGGGACCAUCCUCCAAGGCUAAAUACUCCUGACUGACCGAUAGUGAACCAGUACCGUGAGGGAAAGGCGAAAAGAACCCCGGCGAGGGGAGUGAAAAAGAACCUGAAACCGUGUACGUACAAGCAGUGGGAGCCUCUUUUAUGGGGUGACUGCGUACCUUUUGUAUAAUGGGUCAGCGACUUAUAUUCUGUAGCAAGGUUAACCGAAUAGGGGAGCCGAAGGGAAACCGAGUCUUAACUGGGCGUUAAGUUGCAGGGUAUAGACCCGAAACCCGGUGAUCUAGCCAUGGGCAGGUUGAAGGUUGGGUAACACUAACUGGAGGACCGAACCGACUAAUGUUGAAAAAUUAGCGGAUGACUUGUGGCUGGGGGUGAAAGGCCAAUCAAACCGGGAGAUAGCUGGUUCUCCCCGAAAGCUAUUUAGGUAGCGCCUCGUGAAUUCAUCUCCGGGGGUAGAGCACUGUUUCGGCAAGGGGGUCAUCCCGACUUACCAACCCGAUGCAAACUGCGAAUACCGGAGAAUGUUAUCACGGGAGACACACGGCGGGUGCUAACGUCCGUCGUGAAGAGGGAAACAACCCAGACCGCCAGCUAAGGUCCCAAAGUCAUGGUUAAGUGGGAAACGAUGUGGGAAGGCCCAGACAGCCAGGAUGUUGGCUUAGAAGCAGCCAUCAUUUAAAGAAAGCGUAAUAGCUCACUGGUCGAGUCGGCCUGCGCGGAAGAUGUAACGGGGCUAAACCAUGCACCGAAGCUGCGGCAGCGACGCUUAUGCGUUGUUGGGUAGGGGAGCGUUCUGUAAGCCUGUGAAGGUGUGCUGUGAGGCAUGCUGGAGGUAUCAGAAGUGCGAAUGCUGACAUAAGUAACGAUAAAGCGGGUGAAAAGCCCGCUCGCCGGAAGACCAAGGGUUCCUGUCCAACGUUAAUCGGGGCAGGGUGAGUCGACCCCUAAGGCGAGGCCGAAAGGCGUAGUCGAUGGGAAACAGGUUAAUAUUCCUGUACUUGGUGUUACUGCGAAGGGGGGACGGAGAAGGCUAUGUUGGCCGGGCGACGGUUGUCCCGGUUUAAGCGUGUAGGCUGGUUUUCCAGGCAAAUCCGGAAAAUCAAGGCUGAGGCGUGAUGACGAGGCACUACGGUGCUGAAGCAACAAAUGCCCUGCUUCCAGGAAAAGCCUCUAAGCAUCAGGUAACAUCAAAUCGUACCCCAAACCGACACAGGUGGUCAGGUAGAGAAUACCAAGGCGCUUGAGAGAACUCGGGUGAAGGAACUAGGCAAAAUGGUGCCGUAACUUCGGGAGAAGGCACGCUGAUAUGUAGGUGAAGUCCCUUGCGGAUGGAGCUGAAAUCAGUCGAAGAUACCAGCUGGCUGCAACUGUUUAUUAAAAACACAGCACUGUGCAAACACGAAAGUGGACGUAUACGGUGUGACGCCUGCCCGGUGCCGGAAGGUUAAUUGAUGGGGUCAGCGCAAGCGAAGCUCUUGAUCGAAGCCCCGGUAAACGGCGGCCGUAACUAUAACGGUCCUAAGGUAGCGAAAUUCCUUGUCGGGUAAGUUCCGACCUGCACGAAUGGCGUAAUGAUGGCCAGGCUGUCUCCACCCGAGACUCAGUGAAAUUGAACUCGCUGUGAAGAUGCAGUGUACCCGCGGCAAGACGGAAAGACCCCGUGAACCUUUACUAUAGCUUGACACUGAACAUUGAGCCUUGAUGUGUAGGAUAGGUGGGAGGCUUUGAAGUGUGGACGCCAGUCUGCAUGGAGCCGACCUUGAAAUACCACCCUUUAAUGUUUGAUGUUCUAACGUUGACCCGUAAUCCGGGUUGCGGACAGUGUCUGGUGGGUAGUUUGACUGGGGCGGUCUCCUCCUAAAGAGUAACGGAGGAGCACGAAGGUUGGCUAAUCCUGGUCGGACAUCAGGAGGUUAGUGCAAUGGCAUAAGCCAGCUUGACUGCGAGCGUGACGGCGCGAGCAGGUGCGAAAGCAGGUCAUAGUGAUCCGGUGGUUCUGAAUGGAAGGGCCAUCGCUCAACGGAUAAAAGGUACUCCGGGGAUAACAGGCUGAUACCGCCCAAGAGUUCAUAUCGACGGCGGUGUUUGGCACCUCGAUGUCGGCUCAUCACAUCCUGGGGCUGAAGUAGGUCCCAAGGGUAUGGCUGUUCGCCAUUUAAAGUGGUACGCGAGCUGGGUUUAGAACGUCGUGAGACAGUUCGGUCCCUAUCUGCCGUGGGCGCUGGAGAACUGAGGGGGGCUGCUCCUAGUACGAGAGGACCGGAGUGGACGCAUCACUGGUGUUCGGGUUGUCAUGCCAAUGGCACUGCCCGGUAGCUAAAUGCGGAAGAGAUAAGUGCUGAAAGCAUCUAAGCACGAAACUUGCCCCGAGAUGAGUUCUCCCUGACCCUUUAAGGGUCCUGAAGGAACGUUGAAGACGACGACGUUGAUAGGCCGGGUGUGUAAGCGCAGCGAUGCGUUGAGCUAACCGGUACUAAUGAACCGUGAGGCUUAACCUU
rnacentral:rRNA from 1 species